UGGGGAAUUUUGGACAAUGGGGGAAACCCUGAUCCAGCCAUCCCGCGUGUGCGAUGAAGGCCUUCGGGUUGUAAAGCACUUUUGGCAGGAAAGAAACGUCGCGGGUUAAUACCCCGCGAAACUGACGGUACCUGCAGAAUAAGCACCGGCUAACUACGUGCCAGCAGCCGCGGUAAUACGUAGGGUGCAAGCGUUAAUCGGAAUUACUGGGCGUAAAGCGUGCGCAGGCGGUUCGGAAAGAAAGAUGUGAAAUCCCAGAGCUUAACUUUGGAACUGCAUUUUUAACUACCGGGCUAGAGUGUGUCAGAGGGAGGUGGAAUUCCGCGUGUAGCAGUGAAAUGCGUAGAUAUGCGGAGGAACACCGAUGGCGAAGGCAGCCUCCUGGGAUAACACUGACGCUCAUGCACGAAAGCGUGGGGAGCAAACAGGAUUAGAUACCCUGGUAGUCCACGCCCUGAACGAUGUCAACUAGCUGUUGGGGCCUUCGGGCCUUGGUAGCGCAGCUAACGCGUGAAGUUGACCGCCU
rnacentral:rRNA from 1 species